UGGGGAAUUUUGGACAAUGGGCGCAAGCCUGAUCCAGCCAUGCCGCGUGAGUGAAGAAGGCCUUCGGGUUGUAAAGCUCUUUUGUCAGGGAGCAAAGCUUACUCAAUAACACUGGGUGAGGAUGAGAGUACCUGAAGAAUAAGCACCGGCUAACUACGUGCCAGCAGCCGCGGUAAUACGUAGGGUGCGAGCGUUAAUCGGAAUUACUGGGCGUAAAGCGUGCGCAGGUGGUUUUGUAAGCCAGAUGUGAAAUCCCCGGGCUCAACCUGGGAAUGGCAUUUGGGACUGCAAGGCUAGAGUGUGGCAGAGGGGGGUGGAAUUCCGCGUGUAGCAGUGAAAUGCGUAGAGAUGCGGAGGAACACCGAUGGCGAAGGCAGCCCCCUGGGUUGACACUGACACUCAUGCACGAAAGCGUGGGGAGCAAACAGG
rnacentral:rRNA from 1 species